UGCAGGUUCUGAAAAACCCUGAGAUGUAGAUCACUAUUCUCUGGGAGAUUCCAGGAGCAUGUACAUUGUGGAUGAAGGAUGACAGCCAGCCCUACUGUGGUUGUUGAGUACUUCCUGAAUGUGCU